AAUGAUACUUGAGGGGGUUCGUUAACGGAUGUGGGAUGCCUGCUAGUCACGAACGUUUGACAUGCGAUCGUGUUGGCAGCUCGUAACUUUAAAAUCACAUUCUACUUGUUUGUUUUUUGUUUAUUUUGUUAACGUUUUACGUGUGUGUGUUAUCUUUAUUCAGUGAAGUUUGGUGUGCAGUUGCCGAGUUUGUUAGUUUGACAAUCUUUUUUUUUGUCAUAUUGAAAAACCGAUAUAUGGAACAACUGAUUUGACAUGUUUUGUUUUUUUUUCCCCAAAAAAGAUUGGUUAAUAACAUUACAAAAUCUUGACUGACAUGGAAACCAACAUGGCGAUUAGCAGGGAGAAUGACGUAACUGAAUCUUAGAGAGUGAUGUAUUCAUGUGGAUACACAACCACAAAUUAAGAAAAGAGAGAUUCUGUUUCCUGUGUCUUUUUGCCUAUUCUAUUAUGAUUAGUCUAUUAUUAAAGUUUCUGCGUGAAAAAUUCAUUCAACUAAGAAAAAAAAAACGUUGAACAUCUGCUGUGAUUUUUUUAGUAGGUGGGACGGUCAGAAAACAACCCCCACAGUAUUUAAAUUUCAGCAUCUUAAUACGCAGAGUAAAAAAAGAAUAGAGGAGGCGAAAGGAAUUCGGCAAAAAAAAGUUUGCAUAGCUCCAGGCAUCGUUUUCAACUUGUUUCAAGACUGGUACCCGAAAAAUUCGACGACACGACUUGGAACAAUGGAUGCCUACGUAUCUAGUUCACCUCUACCAACACUCUCUUUUCCAGACACGAGCAGAUGCAAGUUUUUGAGAAACGUAUAUACCUUUUUUCUUCUUGCCUCGGCGUAUCCUCACGGGGCACAAGAAAGCCAUGACUCAGGUGAUGCACACAGGUAGUGGGUAGAGCAAACACUGUCAAAUUUUUUCCCCAAAAAUCAAUUUCUCUUUGCUGCGCUAAUCACUUGUUGAAUAAUUAACAAAACACACUUAAACAAGCACAAUUAACGUUGUGUGACACAGUUGAGUGAAGUAAGGUGAGAAUGGGUACGUUCAGGUGAGAAAAUCAAUGGGUCCAACAGCAGCAGACCCUGGUUGGAAGAAGGCCUGGUUUUUGCUUCUGUUCCAUGGCCUCCGCCAAUACCCACUGGCACAGGCACUGCUGCACACCUUGAAAAACUCUCAGGAGGAGAACCCGACUUCUUUUUUUUUAUCGCAUUCUCCCCCUCUAGUCAAUUUCAUCCAACCAGGUUUUUUCUCUUCUCUCUGCACACAGUUUGUUGCCUUUAGCUCCAGGCCUUUUGCUUCUUCUUCUUCCACUCACAUUCUUUCCCUCUAUACACUUUUUUUAUUAUUAUUAUAUAUAUACCUUUGGGGCUCUUCCUUUGCUGCUAAUUUAUUUCUUUCCUUUCUGGUAGACGUGAGGGAUUUGAAGGAAGAGAGGGCUUACCUGCACCGCGAUGUGUUUUUCUUCUUAUAGCUCAGCGGUCACGUAAAAGGUGCGCGCAUGCCAGCUAAAAGGCCAACAACAACUUGUUUGAAGAAAAGCUCUUUUUUUUUUUAAAUUUCAUUUUUUUACCAUUUCUGUCUGUGGUUGAUUUAUACCUGUGAUGCUUAUCGUGUACACAGAAAGAAAAAAGCCUUUGGGACAAAGUUGCACCGUAUGUGUCUAAAUGCACAGUUACAAGCCAUCUGAGUUCAGCACAGUCAAGUGCUCAAGUCCACUUUGUGCAGUGACUGACCAUAUUACACUGCUGUAUCUAAAUGA